rnacentral:rRNA from 1 species
GAUUAAUACCGCAUAAGAUUGUAGUAUCGCAUGAUAUAGCAAUUAAAGAGCAAUUCGCUAUAAGAUGGACCCGCGUCGCAUUAGCUAGUUGGUGAGGUAAUGGCUCACCAAGGCGACGAUGCGUAGCCGACCUGAGAGGGUGAUCGGCCACAUUGGGACUGAGACACGGCCCAGACUCCUACGGGAGGCAGCAUG